CAAGCGAUGGGGUGACGCAGGAAGGUAGCUGGGCCAGUCAGUGGUUGUACUGGUGUAAGAGUGUAGGCCGUGACAUAGGCAAAUCCGUGUCACAUUAAGGCUGAGACUUGAUGCAUACCCGUUGUGGGGAAUUCAGUGAUCCUAUGCUGCCGAGAAAAGCCUCUAGUGAGUUCAUACACGCCCCGUACCCCAAACCGACACAGGUGAUCAGGUAGAGAAUACCAAGGCGAUCGAGAGAACUGUGGUUAAGGAACUCGGCAAAAUGCCCCCGUAACUUCGGGAGAAGGGGGACCAUGCCCGGUGAACAUCUUCACGGUGGGAGCUGGGUGUGGUCGCAGAGACCAGAGUGAAGCGACUGUUUACUAAAAACACAGGUCCGUGCGAAGACGUAAGUCGAUGUAUACGGACUGACGCCUGCCCGGUGCUGGAAGGUUAAGAGGACCGGUUAGCCGUAAGGCGAAGCUGAGAAUUUAAGCCCCAAUAAACGGCGGUGGUAACUAUAACCAUCCUAAGGUAGCGAAAUUCCUUGUCGGGUAAGUUCCGACCUGCACGAAUGGCGUAACGACUUCUCUGCUGUCUCGACCACAGACUCGGCGAAAUUGCACUACGAGUAAAGAUGCUCGUUACGCGCGGCAGGACGAAAAGACCCCGGGACCUUUACUAUAGCUUGGUAUUGGCGUUCGAUUCGGUUUGUGUAGGAUAGGUGGGAGACUGUGAAGCAUGCACGCCAGUGUGUGUGGAGUCGUUGUUGAAAUACCACUCUGAUCGUAUUGGACGUCUAACCUCGGCCCAUGAUCUGGGUUAGGGACAGUGCCUGGUGGGUAGUUUAACUGGGGCGGUUGCCUCCUAAAGAGUAACGGAGGCGCCCAAAGGUUCCCUCAGCCUGGAUGGCAAUCAGGUGUUGAGUGCAAGUGCACAAGGGAGCUUGACUGUGAGACUGACACGUCGAGCAGGGACGAAAGUCGGGACUAGUGAUCCGGCACCGGCAAGUGGAAGCGGUGUCGCUCAACGGAUAAAAGGUACCCCGGGGAUAACAGGCUGAUCUUCCCCAAGAGUCCAUAUCGACGGGAUGGUUUGGCACCUCGAUGUCGGCUCGUCGCAUCCUGGGGCUGGAGUAGGUCCCAAGGGUUGGGCUGUUCGCCCAUUAAAGCGGCACGCGAGCUGGGUUUAGAACGUCGUGAGACAGUUCGGUCUCUAUCCGCCGCGCGCGUAAGAAACUUGAGGAAGGCUGUCCCUAGUACGAGAGGACCGGGACGGACGAACCUCUGGUGUGCCAGUUGUUCCACCAGGAGCAUGGCUGGUUAGCUACGUUCGGAAGGGAUAACCGCUGAAAGCAUCUAAGCGGGAAGCCUGUUCCAAGAUGAGGUUUCUCACCACCUUGCGUGGUUAAGGCCCCCUACAGACCAUGGGGUUGAUAGGCCGGAGCUGGAAGCGCAGCAAUGCGUGGAGGUGACCGGUACUAAUAGGCCGAGGGCUUACACC
rnacentral:rRNA from 1 species